ensembl:lncRNA
AUGUGUGCCUGUGGCCAGCAUGACACAAUUCUGGAUACCUUCACGGAUGCUGUGGGUACUCAGCACUUCUGGAAAAGCAGGAGCACAGGAAAUGCCAAGCCAGAUACCCGAGGCACUACCCAGGAGAGAUGUCUGUUAAGAUCCCUAAGAGAGGGAAAAGUGUUAUUUAGAGCUUACACUGUCUUGGAGGCUACGAAACGCACAUGAAGAGAAACCCUGCCUACGAGGAGGCAUCCAUCUGUGCCCCGUGGAGAGUAUCUGUGAAGCUACACAGGGAAAAGUCAUUUUGAAGAUCAACGGUAAGGCUACCGAGUGCUUGGGGAUUACUGAGCAAGAGAGGGAUGGUGCAGGACCUGUUGCCCCUUCCCCUUUCCCUUUCGAGAUGGAGACCACGUUACUGAGAAGGGCUGAUUUCCAGGGCUUCUCCUGCUGGCGACCAAACUGAGUCAGAAGCUUUUGGAGUCCCUCUCUGCCUCGCCAGCAACCGCUGUGAAGGGUUUUAUUAGUCUGGGCAGCGUAGCAGAGUUUGGCUGCAAAUAGCUGAUCCUGUUUUGGGAACUCCAACAGUCCUCCUUCUCCUGGCCGACCCCAGGUAUCUCCCCCACGCCGUUCCCUUCCUUAGCAGCCUUGACAGCUUUUCCUGACAGAGUGAGGCUGGCUCGCUUCCAGCUCUUCUCACGCAGGCUGUGGCCUGUGCUAAACCCCACUUUUUUUUCUGAACAUUUGUGUCUUGAUUUCCCAUGGAAACAAGCCUGGGAUGAUCCCUUCUUCAGCCCGUGGGUCUUUCUCCUCACUCUUAAUGACUCUUGAACUCAGUAGCUGUUUCCAGCCAGUUUUGACAGAGAGGCAGAGGUCUCAAAAGUAAUUAUGUUUUUACCAGUUUUAUAGAAACAGGCAGUUGGGUAGAUGAGAAAUGGGAGUAUGAACACUUGCAAAUUCACCCCUGGCUUAUGUCUGAUCCCUCUGGCUUAUUGGCAUCGCUGAACGUGCCAGCCCAAGGAUCACUGCCAAUAUAUUCUGUGGGAAGACAUUGCAUGCAUUUGUGGUGUUAAUGGAAAGUUGUUGUGUAAUUUGGCAAACAAAAAUAAUAUCAGAGGACACAAAUGGCAAGAAACGGAGGCUUUGUCACAUCUGACGCUCGUGGAAUUACUUAUUCUGCAUGAGUGAAAGACCACUUUGCAGCCAACAUUAGAAAAUGUGUAUCUAUUCAUCAGUUCGUCUCUAGUCUGUGGAGCUGUUAGCCAAAUUGCAGGCCAAGGGAAAGGUUUCUUAGCAGAAGUACUGUGUCAGUAACAUGAUCUAAUCAGUGCUGAAACGCAAGGCGGGCCGAAAUUGCAGUGAGGUGUAAAAGAAGGGGCCUCUGCAUAGGCUUAACAGUAGGUUUAACAACAAGGGGGAGCAACUGGUAUGUCCUGAACUGGGAAAUGUCACUGUUCCCUUGCUCCUCCGUCUGCUGUAUAUAAUUAUAAGGAUUGAUGCUCUAAUGAUGUAUUUACAGAUGGGUUGUUUAUGACACUAUACAUCAGGAGAAUGAAACGCUUCAGAUGGUCCCACUGUAAAUAUCUCCCAAGCAGCGGCAUUCUGCUGAUAUUUAUUAGGAGAUUUGAUUGUGCUCAGGAUGAGGACCAGACAUUUCUGUGAGCAAUGAGUGCUGUGAAGCAAUCUUUUUCUACAGAGACCCAAAAUUGCUUAGAGAGAGUUCCAUAAAGAAGCAGCCCCUCUAUUAUCCCCACAGUGAGGCAUGUAGGCAAAAUUGUGUUAGCAUGUAGUGAGCUAUUUAUGGUUACAAUUUGAAAGAAAAGUCCCUUAGCUUCCCUGUUUAAAUGGUGGUUAGUAGCUUGCAAGUUGUUUUUGUUGCCUACAGUUCUUGCUGAAAAGCAUAUGAAAUACAGGUAUCCUUCUGGCUUUACCCCCUUUCCCUACUUAUCUCCAAAGCUGUGAAACUUGGAAGAGAAAUGCUUUAUAACAUUAUGAAUUUGCUGACAUAAAUACUUACUAAUCAGAGUGAUAAAUUUCUGUCUGAUCCAAGCUGCAAAAUAAAAUAAAAAGGACAUAUUUGUGCCA